AACGAACGCUGGCGGCAGGCCUAACACAUGCAAGUCGAGCGCACCCUUCGGGGCGAGCGGCGGACGGGUUUGUAACGCGUGGGAACGUACCCUUGUCUAGGGAAUAGCCAUUGGAAACGAAGAGUAAUACCGUAUACGCCCUUCGGGGGAAAGAUUUAUCGGACAAGGAUCGGCCCGCGUUAGAUUAGAUAGUUGGUGGGGUAAUGGCCUACCAAGGCUACGAUCAAUAGCUGGUUUUAGAGGAUGAUCAGCAACACUGGGACUGAGACACGGCCCAGACUCCUACGGGAGGCAGCAGUGGGGAAUCUUAGACAAUGGGCGCAAGCCUGAUCUAGCCAUGCCGCGUGUGUGAUGAAGGCCUUAGGGUCGUAAAGCACUUUCGCCAGGGAUGAUAAUGACAGUACCUGGUAAAGAAACCCCGGCUAACUCCGUGCCAGCAGCCGCGGUAAUAC
rnacentral:rRNA from 1 species